UAAUGUUAUUUCACAGUACAUAAACUAUCUUAAAAAUAAAAACUGUAAAUAAAAAAAUGUAUUAGUAAAUAAUAUAUUAAAAAUAUUUUUUUAACUAAGCUUUAAUUAACAUAUGUGUGUGUGUUAAAUGAUAUAGUUAAAUAAUAUAGUCUUUAACAUUAGUACAAGCUAAGUAUUAACAACAUAUUUUUACAGCAUUUGUUUGUGUUAGUAAAAAAAAUUAUAUGUUAAUUCAUGGUACAGUAACUGAUGUACAUUAACUAUAAAUUUUAAUUAAUAAUGUAGUAAUCCAUUUUGAACAUAAUAUUAACUAAGAUUCAUAAAUGCUAUAUAAAUGAUGUACUUGUUAACUUAUAUAAUGUUAAAAACUAAAUCCUUAUUGAAAAGUGUUAGAAUAAUUUUAGAAUAAUAUAUAUAUAUUGUUCUGUGUGUGUGUGUGUGUGUGUGAGAAAGACAGAUAGAGAGAGACUCACAUUAAUAAAUGCCAUACAAUUGUUAAUGUAAUUUAAUAUAAUUAAUGUUAAUAACUGAAACCUUAUUGGAAGUGUUACUUAAGUUUUAUAUGUUGUGUUGUGUGUGUGUGUCUCUUGAUGGUUCGGAUUAACCCUUUCAUUGCUGUAUGCCUUAAUUCCAAACUGCUAAAUCAGGUGUGUCCAAUCCUGUUCCUGGCGAUCGACUGUCCUGCAAAGUUCAGCUCCAACUCUAAUCAGUCACACCUACCUUUAAUUUUCAAGCAAUCCUGAAGACAUUCAUUAGUUUCUUCAGGUGUGUUUGAGUAGGGUUGGAGCUAAACUUUACAGGACAGUCGAUCGCCAUUAACAGAGUUGGACACCCCUGAGCUAGACGGUUACUGUGUAUGUGCCGCUGGGCACAGCUUUCCUGAUGCCACCGGGGUGGCGUUUGCGCUGACGGCUCGGGCCCGCCAUCGCUGCUUGCAGCUAUAUUUAUUAUUAUUUUUAUUUUUUUUUAACCUUUCGGGGGUUUUGGAGGCCUUAACAUACUCAAAAACUCUUGAAAAUUGGCACACACAUUGGAACCUGCGGCCAUCAGGACGCCGCAGAGGCUGGGACCCGGGCUCUACGGCGCCCCCUGGAACACAGUCAGAAAUCUUGAACCAUAGCUCACACAUACUUGCAUGUAUUUAUAUAAAACUCUGUACACUUAUAGAUCUCAUUGAGCCGAACAACUUUCGCGCUCUAUGACAUAGGCUCCGCCCAACAGGAAGUCAGCUAUUCAGGGCUGUUUAAAAAAAGCAUGCUCUGGAAUUUGAAAUACUCCUCUGAGGACUUUCAACCGUUUGCCUCGAAACUCGGUGAACAUGAUCUCAAGACAUUGGGGAUGAAAAAUUGCCAGGGGAUUUUUGAUGUCUCGAACGGUUUGGCCGUGGCGAGGCGUUGAAAUUAGGGCAAAAAAUGAGAAACAGGAAAUGUCUAAUAACAUCCACAUACACUACCUGAGUUUUAUCAAACUUCAUCGGAUUGUUCGAUGUAUGAUGCCGAUCGCAUAUAUGUGACUAUUAGGAGUCAAAGUUAUAGCGCCACCAACUGGCAGCAGGAAGUGUGUCAUUUUCAAAAUGCUUUGAAUUCAGCAUCUUAUUUUCACUCGAUUUGCUUCAAACUUCAUCAGAAUAAUGACAAUACACGGCCGAUGUAAAUCUGUUGUGGGGAUAUUGAUAUCUAAUAUAGUGUUGCCAUGGCAACGUGUCAAUCUUGAAUAUUCUAUUCUGGUGAUUUUGAGGCAGAUAAAAUGCUCAGAAUUACAUGAAACUCAAAACACAUAUCAGUAUUAAUGAUAGCUAGACAAUGGAAAAAGCACAUGAAAGGGCGUGGAGGAGGCACUCUAUAGCGCCACCUUUUGUCAAAAGUCGGGGGGUUAGUUUUAGCUACAGACACCAAACUCGGUACAUAUAUUGUUCUUAUCAAAACGGACAACUUUCUAAUUUACAGUCAUCAGCUACGACCUACAGGAAGUCGGCUAUUUUGGUUUAAAUGUGGAUUUUUGGAAAAAUAUUGCUGUGAAUUAAUGCAUACUACUCAGAGGAAAAUUACACUAUACACACCAAACUUUGUCUACAUGAUGACAAAAUAUUGAGGAACCUAAAUUGCGAAUGGAUUUUGGAUAGCUUGAACGGUUUUGCCGUGGUGAUUUUUUGAAAUAACAGUAUAAAGGGAAACAUUACUUGUCUUGUAUUUUUUGAAACUGCAGCUUGCAAACACUUCAAAACCAUUUUUCAUACAGAGUAGAAGUCAUUCUGAGGAAAUAUGCAUAGUUUCACGACUUUACAACACUGUAUGGAUAACAGAAAAUUAAAAAACUGUCAGACAUCUGAUCUGACUCUGAGACCACUCUCUCUGUGUGAGGGUAGGGAGGGGGAGGGGGGGUGCUGGCUGAGAGAGGGACAGAGAGAGACAGAGAGAGAGUUAACAUCUCUUUAAUCACCAGGAAAAAAUAAAUAAAUCAGUAAUUGUGUGUUGUUGUUUUUUUUUUUAUCAUUACAGCUUAAGAAAUCUCUUAGGCCUUAUCCUUUUCUGUCAGUUUUAGGGACAAAAAAAACAUAGUACAAUUUGUAGGGCACAGACAACAUGAUUUUAAAUAAUUAGUUUAAGAAUUAUGUUAAUUGCAACAUAAAAAGAUAUAAAAAAAAAACGUAGACUUAGCUGUAAUGCAGGCAAAAAUAUUUUACAAAUGCUUAUAAAUCAAUAAAAUCAUUAAAAAUGCUUUUUCGUUGAGUGCAUAAUAAUUAGUCACAUUGAUAUUCUUAUAUUUUUUUCCAAGCACAUUUUACCAAUUCCAAAUCACAUCAAUCUUAAUAAAUACUAUACAUUUGGUAUUUAAUCAUUUAUGAGUGAUAUAUAAUUGUCCUUGAAGACUGGAAGUGAAAAACUCCUUAUAUUCAGGAGUGCUGAAUUAUUAGGCAUGUUUUCUUGUCAUGCAUUGGUCAUAGAGCUCAUUGUAGUGGUGCGUCGUGUUGAAAUAGAUUUUUAUACAUUAUACAGGUUCACACGUACUCCUCUGCAGUGCGUAUACAGUAUGUGUAUGCGGUGCAGAAGCAGCAGCGAGAGCGAGUUAUUGUAACGCGAAAGCACAUUAAAAUAAUGCGCGAGCGCGAAUCUAUCCGUUCGCACACAGAUUUCCUUUUCUUUGUCACAAAAACAGACACGCGUGCUCAUAUACAUGCUGCUCUCGCUCGGAGAGAGCGCGCGCACUUAAAACGCGUCUCAUCUGCUCAAACUGUGUCCUGCGAACUCACAACUCUAUCUGUGCUCAUGAGCUAGAUAUUCAUUCUUUUCGCACCUUUCUAUUUCUAACCUUUUUUGUUCACAUCCUUUACCGUGUGCAGUGUGAACGCUCUGAUCCAUUAACAUGGGCUCGGAAAAAAUACGCAUUAACAGACAGCGUGUGAACCUGGAUUUACGGAGGCAUAUGUUCUGUUCUCGCGCUCCAUUUAGGCGCCUUUCAUUCUGACUGGUUCAGAUAGCAACACCAAACGUGCAGUGUGUAAUACAAAUCAUGACCACCACUAGAUGGAGCUAUAGGAUUACUUUUAAAUAAUUGUUGUUGAAACGUGUAUAGAGCAUUUAAAUAAUUUAUAAAAAUCUUUCAAAGAAAAGUAAUAUGUAUUUUAAAACGCUAAUGAAUUUGACGGCUAAUAUAGUUUUAUAUAAUCAUUUCACAAAUGUUUAUAGAUCAUUAAAAGGAUUUUUAAAAAUGGUUAUAGAUCAUGAAGUGUUGGCAACAUUUUAUAAUAAGCUCUCUUUGGUUUACAUUAGUUAAUGCAUUAACAUGAACUAACAAUGAACAAUCUAUUUUUCAGAUAAUUUAUUAAUCUUUUUUAUGUUAGUUAAUCCUAUCAUUAAAAAUAUUAAUGUUAAUGUUAUUUCACAGUACAUAAACUAUCUUAAAAUAAAACUGUAAAUAAAAAAUGUAUUAGUAAAUAAUGUAUUAAAAUAUUUUUAACUAAGCUUUAAUUAACAUAUAUGUGUGUGUGUUAAAUGAUAUAGUUAAAUAAUAUAGUCUUUAACAUUAGUACAAGCUAAGUAUUAACAACAUAUUUUUACUGCAUUUGUUUGUGUUAGUAAAAAAAUAAUAUGUUAAUUAAUGGUACAGUAACUGAUGUACAUUAACUAUAAAUUUUAAUUAAUAAUGUAGUAAUCCAUUUUGAACAUAAUAUUAACUAAGAUCCAUAAAUGCUAUAUAAAUGAUGUACAUGUUAACUUAUAUAAUGUUAAAAACUAAAUCCUUAUUGAAAAGUGUUAGAAUAAUUUUAGAAUAAUAUAUAUAUAUUGUUCUUUGUGUGUGUGUGUGUGUGUGUGUGUGUGAGAAAGACAGAUAGAGAGAGACUCACAUUAAUAAAUGCCAUACAAUUGUUGUUAAUGUAAUUUAAUAUAAUUAAUGUUAAUAACUGAAACCUUAUUGGAAGUGUUACUUAAGUUUUAUAUGUUGUGUUGUGUGUCUCUUGAUGGUUCGGAUUAACCCUUUCAUUGCUGUAUGCCUUAAUUUCAAACUGCUAAAUUAAGUGUGUCCAGUCCUGUUCCUGGCGAUCGACUGUCCUGCAAAGUUCAGCUCCAACUCUAAUCAGUCACACCUACCUUUAAUUUUCAAGCAAUCCUGAAGACAUUCAUUAGUUGGUUCAGGUGUGUUUGAGUAGGCUAAACUUUACAGGACAGUCGAUCGCCAUUAACAGAGUUGGACACCCCUGAGCUAGAUGGUUACUGUGUAUGUGCCGCUGGGCACAGCUUUCCUGAUGCCACCGGGGUGGCGUUUGCGCUGACGGCUCGGGCCCGCCAUCGCUGCUUGCAGCUAUAUUUAUUAUUCUUCUUCUUCUUCUUCUUCUUCUUCUUCUUCUUCUUCUUCUUCUCCAAAAUGAAUCACAUUUUUGAGGGCCUAAACAUGCUCGAAAAGUCCUGAAACUUUGCACACGCGUCAGACCUGGUGAAAAUUUACGUCUGAUAUAGGUUUCAGAAGAGGGUGUGGCAAAAUGGCUCGACAGCGCCACCUAUCCCAAAAAAAUCAACAGCCCUCGAGCUGUGUUUCAGGUACAUGCACGAAAAUUGGCACACAUAUGUAAAGCAUCAGUACCUACAAAAAAGACUCUUGGAGCAAUAUCGGAAACCCAACAGGAAGUCGGUUAUUUUUAAUUUUAUGAGCAAAUUUUGCAUCAUUUUUGUCAUUUGCAUGCCUUGUAUUUUAACGAACUCCUCCUAGAGAUUUAUUCAGAUCAACACCAAAUUUGGUAUGCCUAAUCUAAAGGCCUUUGCGAUGUUAAAUUGCGAAGAUCUUGAGUUUUCGUUGAAGGGCGUGUCCGUGGCGGCCUGACGAAUUUCGAUGAUUCGCCAUGAAAAAUGAAGUUGCUAUAACUCAGACAUACAAUGUCCAAUCUGCCCCAAACUUCACAUGUUUGAUAAGACUCCUGACCUGAACAGAUUGAUAUGCCCAUAUUCAGUUAUAGUAAUAGUGCCACCUACUGGCAACAGGAAGUGACAUAUUUUACGCUGUAACAAACUACCCCGAGAAAUUUUAUGACAUAAAUUUUUUUUUUUCAGUCACUCUAUUCUAAAGGCCUGUGCGAUGUUAAAUUGUGAAGAUCUUGAGUUUUCGUUAAAGGGCGUGUCCAUGGCGCCGUCACAAAGUUCGAUGUCUCGCCAUGGGAAUAAAAGUUAUUGUAACUCUGGCAUAAAAUGUCCGAUCUUGCCCAAACUUCAAUGUUUAAUAAGAGUCCUGGCCUGAACACAUCUGAAGGCCAAUAUUCCAUUGGGUGUGGCAAAAUGCCUCGAUAGCGCCACCUAUACAUUUUCAAUGGAGUGCGCCUCGAGCUACGUUUCACGUACAUGUACAAAAAUCGGUACACACAUGUAACACACCAACACCUACGAAAAAGUCUCUUGGUACGAAAUUCGAAUCCCAACAGGAAGUCAGUUAUUUUGAAUUUUCUCUGCAAAAUUUGUGUCGUUUUUGCCAUUUUCAGGGGUUGUACUUUAACGAACUCCUCCUAGAGAUUUAUUCAGAUCAACACCAAACUUUGUCAGU
ensembl:lncRNA